rnacentral:rRNA from 1 species
AUUGAACGCUGGCGGCAUGCCUUACACAUGCAAGUCGAACGGUAACAGGUCUUCGGAUGCUGACGAGUGGCGAACGGGUGAGUAAUACAUCGGAACGUUCCCGAUCGUGGGGGAUAACGAGGCGAAAGCUUUGCUAAUACCGCAUACGAUCUACGGAUGAAAGCGGGGGAUCUUCGGACCUCGCGCGGACGGAGCGGCCGAUGGCAGAUUAGGUAGUUGGUGGGAUAAAAGCUUACCAAGCCGACGAUCUGUAGCUGGUCUGAGAGGAUGAUCAGCCACACUGGGACUGAGACACGGCCCAGACUCCUACGGGAGGCAGCAGUGGGGAAUUUUGGACAAUGGGCGAAAGCCUGAUCCAGCCAUGCCGCGUGCAGGAUGAAGGCCUUCGGGUUGUAAACUGCUUUUGUACGGAACGAAAAGCCUCUUUCUAAUAAAGAGGGGUCAUGACGGUACCGUAAGAAUAAGCACCGGCUAACUACGUG